AGAGUUUGAUCAUGGCUCAGGACGAACGCUGGCGGCGUGCUUAACACAUGCAAGUCGAGCGGAAAGGCCCUUUCGGGGGUACUCGAGCGGCGAACGGGUGAGUAACACGUGAGCAACCUGCCCUGGACUUUGGGAUAACCCUCGGAAACGGGGGCUAAUACCGGAUAUUACUGCCGAUCGCAUGGUUGGUGGUGGAAAGUUUUUCGGUCUGGGAUGGGCUCGCGGCCUAUCAGCUUGUUGGUGGGGUGAUGGCCUACCAAGGCGACGACGGGUAGCCGGCCUGAGAGGGCGACCGGCCACACUGGGACUGAGACACGGCCCAGACUCCUACGGGAGGCAGCAGUGGGGAAUAUUGCACAAUGGGCGGAAGCCUGAUGCAGCGACGCCGCGUGAGGGAUGACGGCCUUCGGAUUGUAAACCUCUUUCAGCAGGGACGAAGCGCAAGUGACGGUACCUGCAGAAGAAGCGCCGGCCAACUACGUGCCAGCAGCCGCGGUAAGACGUAGGGCGCGAGCGUUGUCCGGAUUUAUUGGGCGUAAAGAGCUCGUAGGCGGCUUGUCGCGUCGACUGUGAAAACCCGCGGCUCAACCGCGGGCCUGCAGCCGAUACGGGCAGGCUAGAGUUCGGUAGGGGAGACUGGAAUUCCUGGUGUAGCGGUGAAAUGCGCAGAUAUCAGGAGGAACACCGGUGGCGAAGGCGGGUCUCUGGGCCGAUACUGACGCUGAGGAGCGAAAGCGUGGGGAGCGAACAGGAUUAGAUACCCUAGUAGUCC
rnacentral:rRNA from 1 species